rnacentral:rRNA from 1 species
AUUGAACGCUGGCGGCAGGCCUAACACAUGCAAGUCGAACGAGUGGCGGACGGGUGAGUAAUGUAUGGGAAACUGCCCGAUGGAGGGGGAUAACUACUGGAAACGGUAGCUAAUACCGCAUACCAUCGGAUGAGCCCAGAUGGGAUUAGCUAGUGGGUGGGGUAAAGGCUCACCUAGGCGACGAUCCCUAGCCGGUCUGAGAGGAUGACGGGCAACUCUGGAACGGGGACACGGUCCGAACUCCAACGGGGGGAGGCGUUGGGAAAUAUUGCACAAGGAGGGAAAUCUUAAUGCGGCAAGGCGGCGUAUAUAAGAAGGGCUUUCGGGUGGUAAGGUACUUUCAGCGAGGAGACGUUACUCGCAGAGAAAGCACCGGCUAACUCCGUGCCAGCAGCCGCGGUAAUAC